UACGAAGGGUGCAAACGUUGCUCGGAAUUAUUGGGCGUAAAGCGCACGUAGGCGGCUUAGCAAGUCGGAUGUGAAAGCCCUCGGCUCAACCAAGGAAGUGCAUCCGAAACUGCUGAGCUUGAGUACUUAAGAGGAUCGCGGAAUUUCCGGUGGAGCGGUGAAAUGCGUUGAUAUCGGAAGGAACGCCGGUGGCGAAAGCGACACACUGGACCUCUUCUGACGCUGAGGCGCGAAAGCUAGGGGAGCAAACGGG
rnacentral:rRNA from 1 species